GAGCCACCCACGCAUCCUCGGCAUGACAUUUCUUACCUUCUUGUUUUUAUUCAUCUGCCUUCUCAAGCUUUGAAUCUUCACAGCUUCAUCUUUAAGACCCUAGUCCAGAUGCUUCAUCUGUAAAACCCACCAGCUUAACUGGAAAAUGAGGAUGUUGAGCUCAUCCUUCUGGAUACUUUCCAGCACUGUUAAGAAUUCAGCUUUCCCUCAACCCAUUUUGAGGACAAUACUUCCUACCCUGUCCUGCAGUGAGGCUGUGCCCAGGAGGCCAAUUUUGGCUCAAAGACUGUGCAGAAAAGUGAUAUGUGCACUUCUGGGUCAGAACAUUUAGUUCCAGUGUACGAUUCCCCAGCUCUCCCUUCCCUUGCUGCAGCAGUUGUGGAAGCCACGGAUUUAGAUGGUGGAGUCACUGGACAGAAACAGCCUGGAUCCCUGAGGCACCACAUGGAGCAGAGCAGCCCUCCAGAGCUGCCUGUCUUGCACCGGACACCUGUGGCUCAAGAAAUAUAAGCCUUUGCUGUGAGAAACAGCCAGAGAGGGAAUGGAAGCAGGAGGAGC